AAACGUACUUGGCUGGGGAGUCACAGUGAUCUCUAAGGCAGUUCUCCAAAACAGAACUUCACCCCUCGCCCCCUGGGUGUGCUGACCCUUACAAUUUCCCCAAAUGUGGGAAACUUGGCUGUGUAAUUUGAU
rnacentral:snRNA from 1 species